UCAGGCUGGGAAAUGACCCUUGACAUUUAGCAAUCCCGGAUGGACAGACAAUCCCCCCCCCCCCCCUUUAGACAGCCUUCAAGCAGCACCACCUCCAGGCUUUGUCAGCCGGUGAAUUCGGUAGCCAGAAGCGAAGAAUCCCAGGGGAAACCGAGCUCCAGCGCGAUCAGUGCUGCCCCCGAUUUUGCACAGAGAAUAGAGAAACACCGUGUGAUGACAACUUUGGAUACUUCGGAAUACCAAGAAUGAAAGUACAAUUCUUAGCUUAAUGGAGAAUAAGGAUAUGCUUCUAGGUCAUGGCUCAGGUCAUGAGCUCACCGUUGGUGAGUUCAAGCCCCACAUCGGACUUG